ACUCAAAGGAAUUGACGGGGGCCCGCACAAGCAGCGGAGCGUGUGGUUUAAUUCGAUGAUACGCGAAGAACCUCACCCAGGUUUGACAUGCAUGUGGUACUGAUGUGAAAGCAGAGGGACCCCUCGGGGAGCAUGCACAGGUGUUGCACGGCCGUCGUCAGCUCGUGCCGUGAGGUGUUGGGUUAAGUCCCGCAACGAGCGCAACCCCUGUCGCCAGUUGUACUUUUCUGGCGAGACUGCCGAGUAAACCUCGGAGGAAGGAGGGGACGAUGUCAGGUCAGCGUGGCCCUUACGCCUGGGGCUACACACACGCUACAAUGGGUGGUACAACGGGUCGCUAAGCCGCGAGGUGGAGCUAAUCCCAUCAAAACCAUCCUCAGUUCGGAUUGUAGGCUGAAACCCGCCUGCAUGAAGCCGGAGUUGCUAGUAAACGCAGGUCAGCAUUACUGCGUUGAAUACGUUCCCGGGCCUUGCACACACCGCCCGU
rnacentral:rRNA from 1 species